rnacentral:lncRNA from 1 species
GGCUAUAUGUGCUAUUCACAUUUGUCAAUUGUCGGUGAAAUUGAUACACGAAAAAUAGUGAAACAUUAUGUUUUCAUAGAAAAUGUUUCAUUAAUUCGUUUUGUUCUGCGCCCUCAAGCGGUCUGUAGCAAUCGGAGUUCGACUAAAUAUAACGACUGACAUUAUUUGGGUUAAAGUAUAUGCUGCUUUAUUUCAAGUAAUUAAAUGAUUAAAAUCAAUGAUAACAUUGCUUUAAAAAUCUUGUGAAUUAGCGUUCAUGUACACCGUAAAAAAUCCUCAAAUGAUUAUGCACGAUUCUUCAUUUAACCAGUUGAUUUUGUUACCAACAAAUACAGAAACACCUCAAGCGUUGGUAACAUGUUACAACAUCUUAAAUGGCGCAGUCGAUCGACGUAAGAAAAGAC